UCACGGCCGCACGCGACACUACGGACAGCAAGGAGCGGCCACACAGGACCCCUUGGGCGGGGCUGACCUUCUACCAGGACGUAGCGCCGGCCGCGUGGCUAACAGUCACACUGACCGGUGGGGAUUUACGCUUAGGUUUUAUUUUUAGUGAACUCGCCCAGACCGAGACAAAUUGACCGCGGCGUUGAAACGCUGGCAGGGAAAGGUCGAUGGCUCUGCCGCCCGUAUAUCACAGCAACGCGUUGUGCUGUGAUUUGAUGGGGGGCCGAUUCAUCCCAGACACUGUGGUGGUGCCAACGCUGAUUACAAAUGCUGUUCAAGUGUAGGUGGAAGGAGGAUCAUUACAACAGUCUGAGAGGAGGAGUUGCUGUCACCGCUUAAGAAAAAUGCAAAUGGCCUCUUGCUGAGUUAGGCUGUGGCCACUGCCAGCUGUGCUGCUGCUACAUCUCAAACAAAUGAAGGAGAAGGCAAGCAGGGGGGUGUACGGGAAGAUAUCAGACCGAGUAGACAGGAUCAACUCCAAGAGAACUGGACCACAGAAGGUUUCAAUCAGUACCAGGAGCCAGAUGUGGGCAUCAGGACACUGGCCAAAGAGGAGGAGAGAGUGGAGGAGGAGGCGGAGGAUUGGACAGUGGUAAGACACGCCAGGAACGCCAAAACCAAGACGAGUUAGAACGAAGGACCUGCCCGCGGGGCUGCAGGACGCAGAAAGCCUCGGUCAACCUGCCCAGAGACUGGAACGGAUCUGUAGGACACCAUGAAGUUAAAAUGGGUUAUUUUCACAGUUGUAUUAUUCUCCCAUUUAACUAAAUGUCAUGUAGUCUAAACAGUUACGUUUUUUUACAGUUAUUUUACAUCCAAAUCGAAUAAAGGCAACUUC